CCUACGGGACGCAGCAGUGGGGAAUAUUGGGCAAUGGACGCAAGUCUGACCCAGCAACGCCGCGUGAAGGAAGAAGGCUUUCGGGUUGUAAACUUCUUUUACGGGGGAAGAGCAGAAGACGGUACCCCUUGAAUAAGCCACGGCUAACUACGUGCCAGCAGCCGCGGUAAUACGUAGGUGGCAAGCGUUGUCCGGAUUUACUGGGUGUAAAGGGCGUGCAGCCGGAGAGACAAGUCAGAUGUGAAAUCCACAGGCUCAACCUGUGAACUGCAUUUGAAACUGUCCAGCUGGAGUGCAGGAGAGGU
rnacentral:rRNA from 1 species